UGGGGAAUAUUGGACAAUGGGCGCAAGCCUGAUCCAGCCAUGCCGCGUGAGUGAUGAAGGCCCUAGGGUUGUAAAGCUCUUUCACCGGUGAAGAUAAUGACGGUAACCGGAGAAGAAGCCCCGGCUAACUUCGUGCCAGCAGCCGCGGUAAUACGAAGGGGGCUAGCGUUGUUCGGAUUUACUGGGCGUAAAGCGCACGUAGGCGGACUUUUAAGUCAGGGGUGAAAUCCCGGGGCUCAACCCCGGAACUGCCUUUGAUACUGGAAGUCUUGAGUAUGGUAGAGGUGAGUGGAAUUCCGAGUGUAGAGGUGAAAUUCGUAGACAUUCGGAGGAACACCAGUGGCGAAGGCGGCUCACUGGACCAUUACUGACGCUGAGGUGCGAAAGCGUGGGGAGCAAACAGG
rnacentral:rRNA from 1 species